rnacentral:rRNA from 1 species
GUAGGGAAUAUUGCGCAAUGGACGAAAGUCUGACGCAGCGACGCCGCGUGAGUGAUGAAGGCCUUAGGGUCGUAAAGCUCUGUUGAAUGGGAAGAAAAAAAAUGACGGUACCAUUCGAGGAAGGACCGGCUAACUUCGUGCCAGCAGCCGCGGUAAUACGAGGGGUCCUAGCGUUGUUCGGAAUCAUUGGGCGUAAAGGGUGUGUAGGUGGCCAUGUAAGUCAGGUGUGAAAGCCCCGGGCUCAACCCGGGAAGUGCACUUGAUACUGCGUGGCUUGAGUACCGAAGAGGGUAGUGGAAUUCCAGGUGUAGUGGUGAAAUACGUAGAUAUCUGGAGGAACACCGGUGGCGAAGGCGGCUACCUGGUCGAGUACUGACACUGAGACACGAAAGCAUGGGGAUCAAACAGGAUUAGAAACCCUAGUAGUCC